rnacentral:lncRNA from 1 species
UAAAUAAAACAAAUUAAAAAAAAAAUUCUGAAAUAUUUAUUUUCUUUUAGAAAAUACCUGCAGAGGCACGUCCACCUGGCUGGCCACCUCCCUGAUGAUGGCGGCGGUGACGGCCGUGGUGGCGUAGCGCUGAUUGCUGUUAAACUUGAUGACGGGGCCCUGAAAGAAUGAAACUCGAGGACGUCAGAGAAACUGACAGGAACAGAUUAUUUAUUCUAUAAUCAAAGAUCACCUUAUGAAACGCCGGUCUGUGGUUUUCCUCGUGCUUUUCUCUGAAAGAUAAGAACAAAACUUAAGCAGCUCAUUGAAUUUUUUUUUUUUUUUUUUUAAAUCCUUCAGGUUUCUGGGACUCACUGGUAGUUGGGGUGAACGGCGUGUGCCAUGUCAGCGCUGAUCAUGAAGGAGAGCGGCGCCGCCUGCUGGAAGGAGGUGAGGUUGGAAGGGGAGACGGCGAGGCGACUGACGAUGAGCUCCGUCAGGUGAUUCUCCUUAUUGGGGCCGAAGGAAUCGUUGAUGUCGCGCUGGAGGUGGAUGGCCAGGUGGGGGAUCCUGAGCACAGGCCUGGACACGUGAACCAGGCGAUGGACAAGAUGGCCCUCAUUCUGCGUGGACACAAGAUAACUUCAUAGAAUGACCCAGGAGGACAAGACAUGAAACCAGCUUCAAGUUUCAUCUGUGGAAGAGGUGUGAGAGUGAAACCAGGAGGCUAACAGGAGGAGGCGGUCAGGCUCUCACCCUGAGGCAGGGGCUGUCGGUGUGCGCUCCGAUCAUAGAGAACCCAUUCCCCGGUUUGUACUGUCCCCCCACAGCGAAGGCGAUCAGGCUGGAAUAGUUCCUGGUUACAAAAUACUUCAGAAAAAAUAUAAUUAUUAUUUUAAAAACACAUAAAUUCAACAGCACCUCCAGGAUAAAAAAAAAAUAAUAAUAACAAAAUCUACCCCACCUUGCUGGCUGGUUUGAUGUGCCACUGAUCUGACUCCUUAAGCUCAACAAAUCCAGCCUCCCGGAGGCGCCGUUUACAUUCCUCAACCACUGCGGAAAAACAGGAAAAACUGUUUUCAGAUCCAACUCCAAACUGUCAAAAGGAUAAAACUCAUUCAGUAUUUUUAUAGCUAAAUUUUAAAUCCCAUUUUAG